rnacentral:rRNA from 1 species
GAUGAACGCUGGCGGCGUGCCUAAUACAUGCAAGUCGAGCGAACGGACGAGAAGCUUUCUUCUCUGAUGUUAUCGGCGGACGGGUGAGUAACACGUGGUUAACCUACCUAUAAGACUUGGAUAACUUCGGGAAACCGGAGCUAAUACCGGAUAAUAUUUUGAACCGCAUGGUUCAAAAGUGUAAGACGGUCUUGCUGUCACUUAUAGAUGGAUCCGCGCUGCAUUAGCUAGUUGGUAAGGUAACGGCUUACCAAGGCAACGAUGCAUAGCCGACCUCAGAGGGUGAGCGGCCACACGGGAAGUGAGACACGGUACAGACACCUACGGGAGGCAGCAGUAGGGAAUAGUCCGCAAUGGGCGAAAGCCUGACGGAGCAACGCCGAGUGAGAGAAGAAGGUCUACGGAUCGUAAAACUCUGUUAUUAGGGAAGAACAUAUGUGUAAGUAACAGUGCACAUAUUGACGGUACCUAAUCAGAAAGCAACGGCUAACUACGUG